rnacentral:rRNA from 1 species
AGCGAACGCUGGCGGCAGGCCUAACACAUGCAAGUCGAACGAAGUCUUCGGACUUAGUGGCGGACGGGUGAGUAACACGUGGGAACGUACCUUUUGGUUCGGAACAACUCAGGGAAACUUGAGCUAAUACCGGAUGAGCCCUUAGGGGGAAAGAUUUAUCGCCGAAAGAGCGGCCCGCGUUAGAUUAGCUAGUUGGUGAGGUAAAGGCUCACCAAGGCUACGAUCUAUAGCUGGUCUGAGAGGAUGAUCAGCCACACUGGGACUGAGACACGGCCCAGACUCCUACGGGAGGCAGGAGUGGGGAAUCUUGCGCAAUGGGCGAAGGCCUGACGCCGCCAUGCCGCGUGAAUGAUGAAGGUCUCAGGAUUGUAAAAUUCUUUUACCAGGGACGAUAAUGACGGUACCUGGAGAAAAAGCCCCGGCUAACUUCGUGCCAGCCGCCGCAGUAACAC